rnacentral:ncRNA from 1 species
UCAAAGGCUAUGACAGGAAGGAGUACUUAAGCAAGUGUUACUUCAGAGAGCAGGCGGUUGGUGCGAGCCUGUAGAACAUCUUAAGGAAGCAGUCCUCGAGCUGUGAUUGCGAAAUAGGUUUUAGAUUAGCAGUCAACGGAAGGUUCCACGUUACAGGAACAACGGUUAAGAAAUCUGGCCGUACAGAGUGCAGGAAGUUUUUCCUGAAGUUAGGUGGUAACACGGACUAUAAAAAUGAUAAGUUCGCCCUAAGC